CGGGACGGGUGAGUUCGCUAGGCAAGCACGGACUGGCGGUUACACGUGCAUGCGUGCCGAGUGAACUCUCCCGCCCCG
rnacentral:pre_miRNA from 1 species